rnacentral:rRNA from 1 species
CCUACGGGAGGCACCAGUGGGGAAUACUGCACAAUGGGCGCAAGCCUGAUGCAGCCAUGCCGCGUGUAUGAAGAAGGCCUUCGGGUUGUAAAGUACUUUCAGCGGGGAGGAAGGCGAUAAGGUUAAUAACCUUGUCGAUUGACGUUACCCGCAGAAGAAGCACUGGCUAACUCCGUGCCAGCAGCCGCGGUAAUACGGAGGGUGCGAGCGUUAAUCGGAAUUACUGGGCGUAAAGCGCACGCAGGCGGUCUGUCAAGUCGGAUGUGAAAUCCCCGGGCUCCACCUGGGAACUGCAUUCGAAACUGGCAGGCUAGAGUCUUGUAGAGGGGGGUAGAAUUCCAGGUGUAGCGGUGAAAUGCGUAGAGAUCUGGAGGAAUACCGGUGGCGAAGGUGGCCCCCUGGACAAAGACUGACGCUCAGGUGCGAAACCGUGGGGAGCAAACAGGAUUAGAUACCCGCGUAGUC